rnacentral:rRNA from 1 species
AGUGAACGCUGGCGGUAGGCCUAACACAUGCAAGUCGAACGGCAGCACAGUAAGAGCUUGCUCUUACGGGUGGCGAGUGGCGGACGGGUGAGGAAUACAUCGGAAUCUACUUUUUCGUGGGGGAUAACGUAGGGAAACUUACGCUAAUACCGCAUACGACCUACGGGUGAAAGCAGGGGAUCUUCGGACCUUGCGCGAUUGAAUGAGCCGAUGUCGGAUUAGCUAGUUGGCGGGGUAAAGGCCCACCAAGGCGACGAUCCGUAGCUGGUCUGAGAGGAUGAUCAGCCACACUGGAACUGAGACACGGUACAGACUCAUACGGGAGGCAGGAGUGGGGAAUAUUGGACAAUGGGCGCAAGCCUGAGCCAGCCAUACCGCGUGGGUGAAGAAGGCCUUCGGGUUGUAAAGCCGUUUGUUGGGAAAGAAAAGCAGCAGGUUAAUACCCCGCUGUUCUGACGGUACCCAAAGAAUAAGCACCGGCUAACUUCGUG